rnacentral:tRNA from 1 species
UCCCUGGUGGUUCAGUGGUUAGAACUCUGUGCUCCCAAUGUAGGGGGCACAGGUUCCAUCCCUGGUUAGGGAA